UACAGAGGGUGCGAGCGUUGUCCGGAAUCACUGGGCGUAAAGGGCGCGUAGGCGGUCUCUUAAGCGUGUGGUGAAAGCCCGGGGCUCAACUCCGGGUCGGCCGUGCGAACUGGGGGACUGGAGCUUGUCAGAGGCAGGCGGAAUUCCGGGUGUAGCGGUGGAAUGCGUAGAGAUCCGGAAGAACACCGGUGGCGAAGGCGGCCUGCUGGGACAGUGCUGACGCUGGGGCGCGACAGCGUGGGGAGCAAACAGG
rnacentral:rRNA from 1 species